GGCGGGUUAGCGUAAUGGUCAACGCGUUAGUUUCCGGAAAAAAAGUCGAGUUUGCAAGCCCGGGACUCGAACCUACCGCACAGCUAAAGAUUCCGGGUUCGAGUCCCGGGCCUGUCG